UAGACCACCCUACUCCAACCAUCAAGCCUAUCUUCCUCAACAAUGGGCCUCUGCAAAAUCCUCUCCAUUUCCUCAUUCCUUCUCACCACCCUAUUCUUCACCUCCAGCUAUGCAGCAACCUUCAACAUCCAAAACCGUUGCUCCUACACAGUUUGGGCGGCGGCAAUCCCAGGCGGGGGCAUGCGGCUUGGCUCAGGCCAAUCCUGGAGCCUCGAUGUGAAGGCCGCCACCACCGGAAGCCGUGUUUGGGGCCGUACCGACUGCAGCUUCGAUGCGUCAGGGAAUGGGAAGUGUGAGACCGGGGACUGUGGUGGCCGCCUCCAAUGCAAGGCCUAUGGUACACCCCCUAACACCUUAGCCGAAUUCGCACUUAACCAAUACAGCAACUUGGACUUCUUUGAUAUAUCUUUGGUUGAUGGAUUUAAUGUGCCUAUAGCCUUUAAUCCUACUUCCAAUGGGUGCACCCGUGGCAUCAGUUGCACCGCCGACAUCGUGGGAGAGUGCCCCGCUGCGCUAAAGACUACCGGUGGUUGCAACAACCCAUGCACCGUUUUCAAGACCGAUGAAUAUUGUUGCAAUUCUGGGAGCUGUAAUGCUACAGAUUUCUCAAGGUUUUUCAAGACUAGGUGCCCUGAUGCUUAUAGCUACCCUAAGGACGAUCAGACAAGCACCUUCACAUGCCCUGGCGGUACCAAUUAUGAAGUUAUCUUCUGCCCAUCAGCAGUGCCACAAACAUGUGUUUUUAUUAUAAAUUAAUUUGUGGUAAAAAAAACAUUUUGUGUUACAAGAUUUUUUUUCCACAAAAAAAUAUUUCCGACCAGUUUGUUGCUACAAAUUCGUAAACAAUUAUUUUUAAUCACAAAAUUUAAUUUUAUAAUAAAAUAAAUAAUUUUUUCAUAAAAUAAAUUUUAUAACAAAAUAUCAAUAUUCACCAUUAAAUAAAAUUUAUGAUAAAAUGUCAUUUUUCACCGUAAAAUAAAAUUUGUGACAACACAUCGUUUUUCAUGAAAAUAAUUACGAUAAUAUGCGACUUUUUUGUUAUAAAAAAAUUCAUGAUAAAAAAUUACCCUUCUACCAAAAAACAUUAAUUGUAACGGUCCAAACCACUGGUCUUGACAAGGAAAUAUGACAUACAGUCAAGGAGGGUUUGCUUAAAAGUCAUUAUCCUACUUGGAAACUACCUCCCUUAUUGGGGUACAUGGCAUUUUUUUAAUAAUAUUUGACUCACUUUUCCGGGAAACCUAGUUGUAGAAGUCCAAACAGGUUGCUUUUCAGGGGAAUUCACGGCAUAAAUAGAAAAGAAAGUUGCCAGAAAUGCCCUAACUGAUUAAAAUCAUUACCUUUAAUUGCAGAGAAUUAUGUCUAUCAAUUAAAUAAAUUAUAAAUAUAUGUUUGAAUUGAUUUUUAAGAAAUUGAAUGGUUUUUUAAGUUCAAUAAGAAUUUUAAUAUUGAUUUAACUAAUUUUAUUUAAAAAGCUUAUGAUUUAAAAAAUAGUUUUAUAUGAUUUAGAUAAGAAAUUAUUUAAUAUUUAAUAUAAGUUUUAUAAUACUAAUAUUAUGUAUUAAAAAUUAUGAUUUUGGUUGGACUCUCAACAUUUAGUUAAAUCUAAAAGUAGAAAACUAUUUCAAACAAAGUCAUGUUUUCUAUUUCAUUAUUAAUUAAUAUAUAUUUUUUUUAAUUCGGAUGUGAAAAGGUGUUUCAAAGUUUAAGAUUGUCUAAUAUUUUAAAUCAAAAUCUCAAUACUUAAAUUAAAGAAAAAUUUAGAUCGUAUUUAUUUGUUUAAUUGAAUAGAAAAAAUUAAAAUAUUUAAUUUUUUUAAUUUUAAUUAAAAGUAAUCUAUUUAUAUUAAUCAAUAUAACGAAAUCGAAUAUAUUGAUAAUAAAUUUACUUUAAAUAUCUUAAUUGAUAUUAAUAUAUUACUUGAACUGAAAAAACUAAAAAGCAAAAAAUAAACUCCACACUUAAAAAGAUUCUGGGCCAUGGAUACAGAAGCCCAAAAGAUUUAUUGAUGGGGGCAGUGGGCCUGGCCUGCCGUGUGCAGCUGCAUUUGUUUGACUUGUCCUCAAGCCUAGUCAACGUCUCCGUUCAAUGAAGCUGAUGUAUCGAAAAAUCCCAAAAAGCCUCAUUUUUCCCGCCAAACGCGUAAACCCCAAAAUGAGUUUCUUCUGCAACUGCAGCAAUCUCUCUACUUCCUUCUUCCUCCUCAUCUUCAUCAAUGCAACCAUUUUCGAAAUCCGAAACAGCUGCCCCUAUACCGUCUGGGCAGCCGCCUUACCCGGCGGCGGAAGGUAACUCGACCAAGGCCAGACCCGGAACCUUUCAGUGAGCUCCAACACAACCCAAGGCCACAUCUGGGGCAGAACCAAGUGCAGUUUCGAUGAAGCCGGAAGGGGGAACUGCGAGUCCGGUGGAUGUGGAGGCCUCCUUGAAUGCCAAGAAUAUGGUUCACCGCCCAACACCAUUGCCGAGUACGCCAUAAACCAAUUCAACAAAACUGAUUUCUUCGAUAUUUCUCUGGUGGUUGGAUUCAACCUUCCAAUGGAGUUUAGCCCAACUUCUGAUGGGUGCAAACGUGGGGUCAAGCGUACGUGCGACAUUAACGGGCCGUGCCCAAACGAGUUGAGGGACCCGGGUGGGUGUAACAACCCAUGUACCGUUUUCAACAAUACUCAGUACUGUUGCAAUACCGGGAGCUGUUAGCCUACACCUUCAUGUUUUUCAAGGCUAGCUGCCCAGAUGUAUACAGUUACCCUUUGGGAGAUGAUUCAAUCGGUACGUUUACCUGCGCCGCAUGCACUAACUAUCGUAUAGUCUUCUCCGAGUUUUGGGGUAGCCCAAAGUUUAAACCUUUUUGCAAAACUUACAAUCAAACUCGUCCUUUUUAUUAUCACCUAGAGUCAUAUUAUGUUUUUUUUUUCAAAAUUUAAGUUGAAAAUUUUAUUUUUGAAUUGAAGCCAUAAUUAAUAACCAAGACUUCAUUUUGAACGGAAACCUCAUUUGAUAAGUGAGACUUAGUUUUUUAAUUAAAACCUCAUUUUGACAAUUAAAACUUCAUUUAUUAAACUAAAACCUUAAUUGUGACUUUAGUUAUUUUUUUUACUUUAAAAUUUAAUUAAAAAUAUUAAAUUUCAAAUUAUUAUUGAAAUUAAAAAUAUUUACUUUAAUAAUAAAAAAUUAUAUAUUUAAGUUUAAGGAUUCAACAUUAUUCUAAUAAAGAUAAAUUGAUAAAUAAAAUAAAUAAAUGAAUAAUUUUAUUUAUCAAUAAAUUAAUAAUUUUAAAAUAAUAAAGUUAUAUAAUAUAUAAAUAAAAUAUAAAAUUAUAUAAUUUAUUAAUUUAAGUUAUAUUACAAAUACUAUAUGUUACCGGGCAACUAAAAAGGAAGAAAGUUAUGUAUAGGUUCUCUCUUUGUAAAGACACGUAAGAUUAUAUAAUUUUCUUUUUUACUAUAUGAAUAUUUAGUAAACAAUUUUUGUGACAUAGAUGAAACUACUAAAACUUAUAUUUUGUAGUAAACAUUUUUUAAUUAAUUUUAUUAGCUAAUUUUAAAAUGUAUCUUCAAGGCAUAUAUGUUGUGGGUAUAAAUAAUAAUUUUUUUUUAAUGAAAAAUUAUAAACAUAUACUUUAAAAUAAUAAUAAAAUCUAUAUAUAAAAGCUUAAGAAUAUACUAUUAUUUUAAUAAAGAUAAAUUUGUGAAAAUACAAAUAAAUUAAUAUCUUAAAAAUAAAACAAAUUAAAUAUCUUAAAUUAAUAAAUUAUAUAAUUUUAUAUCUUAUUAUAUUUAUCAAUUUAUCUUUAAACCUAAGUCCUAAGUCCAAGGUUUAAAUAUUUUAUUAUAUUUAUUAAUUUAUCUUUAUUGAAGUAAUACUAGAUUUUUAAGUUUAAACAUAUAAUUAAUUUAUUAUUAAAGUAUAUAUUUUUAAUUUCAACAAUAAUUUAUAAUUUAAUAUUUUAAUUAAAUUUUAAAGUAAAAAAAUAAUUAAUUGAAGCUUCAAUUGAAAAUUAAGACUUUAAUAAAAAAAUGAAGUCUCAAUUAUCAAUUGUGAAUUCAAUUUAAAAAUGAGGUAUGAUUUGACAAUUAAGGUUUCAGUUUAUAAAUGAAACCUUAAUUGUCAAUUGUGGUUUUAGUUCAAAAAUAAACCCUCAAUUGAUAAUUGAGGUUUUACUUAAAUUUUAAAAUAUAUAUAUAUUAUGAUACGACUCUUAUGUGACAAUAAAGGACUAGUUUGAACAUAAAUUUUAUAAAAAUGUUAAAUCUUACAUUUCUUUUUAUACAAGCUUAUUUAUUUUUGUUUCUUAAAAAAAAAAAAAUUAUCAGCUUCCCUUGAUAAGAUUUGAGGAAAAACAAAGAUGAGGUAGGAUUGGCUCUUCCAUGCCUCUAAGUCGAGCACCAUCUUUUAGAUUUUAACAAAGCUUAUUGCUAAAAUAUUUUCAUUUAGGGUCAUUAACUUUAACUUAGGGUUCAUCGAGGAACUUUUUCAGAAAUAAUUCUUAAAAAGUAAUUCUCAAGAAUAACUUUUAAAAAUAAUAUUUUAAUAUUUUUAAAAUAAAAAGUUUUGAAGAGCUUAGAAUAUUGUCAAUUUUUUUUUAUAUUUUUAAAUAUUUCUUAAAAAUAAUUCCUAUUUAUAAUACCUUAUUUUAAGACAUUCUUCGUGUUUAUUCAAUAAUUCCUAAAAAGUAAUUAAAAUAUAAUAUAUGUAAAAAAAAUCACUUUUCAUAGUUUUAGUUUUAAAUUUAUAAUUAACAAUCGAAUGUGUUUUUAUACUUUUUUUAUUCUAAAAACCAAAAAGAUAAAUCCUUAAUAGAAAUUUUCAAACAUUGUUUUAGUGUCCCACCCCAAGUCCACCUUCGCUCUAUAUAAACUCCUAGCCAUUUCCUCACGGACCACCCCAAACCAUAAAGCCCAUCUUCCUGAAAAAAUGGGCCUCUUCAAAACCCCUUUAAUUUCCUCAUUCCUUCUCACCACCCUAUUCUUCGCCUCCUGCCACGCAGCCACGCUGAUCAACAUCCAAAACCAUUGCUCCUACACAGUUUGGGCGGCGGCGGUACCAGGUGGGGGCAGGCAGCUUGGUCCGGGCCAAUCCUGGAGCCUCGAUGCGAACCCUGGCACAGCCCGUGUGUGGGCACGUACCAACUGCACCUUUGAUGGGUCAGGGAACGGGACGUGUGAGACCCGAGAUUGUGGUGGCCGCCUCCAAUGCCAAGCCUAUGGUACACCCCCUAACACCUUGGCCGAAUUCGCACUUAACCAAUUCAACAACAUGGACUUCUUCGAUAUAUCUUUGGUUGAUGGAUUUAAUGUGCCCAUGGCUCUUAAUUCUACUUCCAAUGGGUGCACCCGUGGCAUCCAAUGCAGCGCCGACAUAGUCGGACAGUGCCCUGAUGAGCUCCGAGCUCCCGGUGGUUGCAACAAUCCAUGCACUGUUUUCAGGACCGAUGAAUAUUGUUGUUAUUCUGGGAACUGUGGCCCUACAACUUACUCCAAGUUUUUCAAGGAUAGGUGUCCGGUGGCUUAUAGCAACCCUAAUGAUGAUCAAACAAGCACCUUUACAUGCCCUGGUGGUACUAACUAUGAUGUUAUCUUCUGCCCAUGAUGCCUCUACUAGUCCUGUUAGACGAUUUGGUACCAUCUUGGGAUCCAAAUGUCUAGAAGAAUAAAUUUGAGCACAUGUCCAUGUCCAUAGUCAUGUAAUAAGAUUUCUACCAUCAUAGAAAUCGAAUGAUUUUCAGAGGGGUUAGAAGCUUUGAAUAAUGUUUAAAUGUGCUUUACUUAUAAAAGUUUAGAACUAAUUCUUCAUAAAAAUAAUUUUGUCCAAGUGUUAUUGUUUAAGAGUUUAUUUGAUAUUGAAUUAUGAAAGUAUUUUGAAUUAUUUUAACAUUUAAAAAAUAAUUUUUCUUUAAAUAUUAAAAAAUUUAAAAAUGCUUCUUAUAAUUAUUAUCAAAUAAACUCUAAAUACUAUAUAUUAAAAACAUAAUUACUAGAAUGACCUCUAAAUGAAUUCAUAUUUUAAGUACACCGAGAAUGAUAGAAUUCAGUAAUGGUGUUUUAAAUUAAAUUGGUAAAUAUUUUGGGAUUUUCCAUUUGAAUAAUUUUUAGAAGUGAAUAAAUUAUUUUUCAGCUCUAACAUAAACAAAUCCUGUUAUUGUGGUGUGGAAAAACCUUUGCUCAAGAGUCAAGAGCGGUGGUGGAGGCUUGAGUUACGUACCCAAGUUGAAUUUUUGUAAAAGGAUGUGGAGGAGUAGAGUACAAGGAAAAUUGAUUUGCGGACAAGACCAGUUAGUUAGUGAAGCUUGAUUAAAGUCGAAGUUUUGGUGUUUUCUCCCAAGACUUCCUUUGUAGUGGUCCAAAAAAUUGGUAAGGAAAUAUGACAGACAUCGAAAGAGGAUUUGGCUAAAAGUCAAUAACUAUUUGGAGCUAUGUUCCCUUCUCGGGGCGAUGGCGUUUGCUAGUAAUCUUUGACUCGCUCUUCCCCGUAGCUUCCAUAGCAGUCCAAACCGGUUGCUUGUUCAAGGAAAACACCGUAUAAAUAAGAGGGAAGUGGCUAAAAGUCUAACUAAUUAAAAUCGUAGUCAUUUAUUGUGUGGAAUAGCGGGACACAUACGUAUUGAAGUUGAACUUGUCCAUCAAUUAAAUCUAAUACAAUUUUCUUUUUCAAUCCAACUAUUACGUAAUAAAUUUUAAAUUUCAAAUAUAUUUGCUUUUAAAAUUUACUCAAACCAAUUUAAUAACUUACAAAUAACUAAUUCAAUAACUUGGACUUCUUUAAUAUAGUAUUGUCCAAGCAUAUAUUUGAUAUGUCUUUAAUUUAUUUUUAAUUGUGCUUCUAAGCUACGUUUGGUUCUCGAAAAAUUUGAGAGAAAAUUUAAAAGAAAAAAAUUACAGAUGAAAAAAAAUAAAAAAUAGUUUAAAUAUAAUAAAUUAUAUUUGAUUUGAUUUUCUAUUUUUUUUUAUAGUGAAACAAAAUAUGAGAAAACCAUUUUUAUUAAUAUUUUUUUUCUUUAGAACACUUUCCAACAUAACUUACCAUUUAUUUUUUUGGUCAUGCAAAAGUUGAUGUAAAAAAUAUAGUUAGUCUCUCUUAUAUCAUUCAUUUGAAAUUGAGUAGAUUAAUGGUGUUUGUUUUUUUGGUUUUUUACUUAAAGCAAUUUAGUUUUAGAAUUUAGGUUGUUUGUUUUUCUACUUUUUCAUGACUUAUUAUAAACUUUUUACUAAAUAGAAAAAGUCAAAAUAUGUAGCUUUUUCUAAGUAGGAAAAAUAACAUAUUGAUUUUUUUUACUUUUUAAUACUUAAUAGAAAUAAAAUACUACAAAAACAAAUAACCUAAUAUUUAACACUAUUAAGCAUUAAGGUUCUAUUUAGAAUUAAGUAAAAAAACAAACAUCAUCUUCACACUAAGUAAUAACCCUAUAUUAGUCCUAAUAAGUAAUAAAAUUCCUCUACUAAUACAUGGUAUGGAUAAAAUAUUUACUAAAUUAACAACAUGAAUGUAAGUAAUUUAGAUAUUAGUAGGAUAUAUUUUUGUCUUAAUUAUUUAAAAAUAUAAACAUAUUUAUAUUAGGUUCUUGCUUUUUAUAAAUAUUAAUUCAACAUUUUUAGUAAUUUUUUUUUUAAAUUUAAUAAUUACAUAACCAAAAGUAAAAAAAAAAAAAAAUCAUUUUAUGAUGAUUUUUUGUCAAUUUUCAAUGAUUUCUUUCUAGUUCUUUGUUUUCAGUAGGUUAUUGAGUUAAUAAAGAAAUAAUGAAAUAUAAUGUGAUUGGGUUUUGGGUAUUUUUUUUUUUUAUAAUUUGUUUAAAAAAAAUUAGAUAAUAAAAAUAUCAUAUAUAUAUAUUUUGUUAUAAAAUUUUUAAAAGGAAAAAAAUUGUUGCUAAAUAUGAUUUUCAAAAACAUUUAUCACAAUUUUAAUUCAAAAAAUUGAAAAAUAAAAGUGUAAUGGAAGAUACUACUAAUGUAGUACAAGCAAUAAAUAUUUUUACCCUUAGUUGUGAAAAAUAUAGAGGAAAGAAAUUUUAUGAUGUCUGUUUCUAGAAGGUUGUAGGAAACCUGUUUGCCACGCCAGCCUAUUAAUAUUUUCUUCUUCGAAAAUUAAGAAAUUAUGGCAUUUUUUUAAAAAAAAAUUAUGCUUAAAAAUAGUUUUUUAUUUAGAAUAUAAAACUUAAAUUUAAAGAAAUUGAGAAUAUAUUCUAAAACUGAAUUAUCUUUUAGAAUAAAUUUAAGGGUUUUUUUUUAUUAUGUUCUAUUAAAUAAUAAUUAUUAAAAAUAUGAAAAUUAUUUUUUUUUAAAAAUAUAUUAUAUAUGUGUAUGUCAACUUUAAGAAAAAUAAAUAAAUAAAUAAAUAUAUAUAUAUAUAUAUAUAUAUAUAUUUUAUGUCUGAGAUUUUAAACAAAAUUUUAUUUAUAAAAAUAAUUAAAAAUUAUGUUUUGCCUAACAUGCCUAUGUUCUAGUCGUCUACGGAGUUGGUUCGGGAUGGCAGUGGAAAAUAUACUUUAGAUAUUUUCUCUUCUCUAUAGUCAGAUGCUUCUGCGUAUUUUAAAUGGUAAAGACCAAAACUCAAUUAUGAUAUUAUCGAAAAUAGACCCAGUCCAAAGUGGUCAUUCAUACUGGCAUAGUUCCAGGAAGGUGAUCAACAUCAGGGCUGUCUCAUUCAAGAAAGGAAAUUUGCACCCACGUUUUCUAGAUACAUUCCUACUGUUCUGAUGAUUCGGUAUGCACGAAUUUAUGCAAAGGUUAGGCAGAUUUCUGAAAAUAAUAAAAAUGGUAAUGAAGUGGACCCUUCUCUCUGUAAAAUAUUUUAAAUAAAAAAUACUUAUUUUUCUAAAAAUAAGUAUUUUCAAUAUGUAAUAUAUGUUUUAAAAAAAAAAAUUAAUUUACAAGCUUAUUUAUUUUUAUUUCUUAAAAAUAUUAUCGGCUUUUGUUGAUAAGAUUUGAGGAAAGAAAAAGGGCCACCUCACAUCGACUCUUCCAUGCCCGCAGGCCCCAACGAAGUCGACCACAAAGAUGACGCUAUCUUUUGGAAUUUUUACAGGGAGGUUUUUUCACAUACACACCAACCCAAGCCCACCUUCACCCUAUAAAAACCCCCACCCGGUUCCUCACAGAUCACCCCACUCCAACCAUCAAGCCUAUAUAUCUUCCGAAACUCAACAAUGGGCCUCUGCAAAAUCCUCUCCAUUUCCUCAUUCCUUCUCACCACCCUAUUCUUCACCUCCAGCUAUGCAGCUACGUUCAACAUCCAAAACCAUUGCUCCUACACGGUUUGGGCUGCGGCAGUCCCAGGCGGGGGCAUGCAGCUUGGCUCAGGCCAAUCCUGGAGCCUCAAUGUGAAUGCCGGCACCACUGGAGGCCGUGUUUGGGCCCGUACCAACUGCAACUUCGAUGCGUCAGGGAAUGGGAAGUGUGAGACCGGGGACUGUGGUGGCCUCCUCCAAUGCACGGCCUAUGGUACACCCCCUAACACCUUAGCCGAAUUCGCACUUAACCAAUACAGCAACUUGGACUUCUUUGAUAUAUCUUUGGUUGAUGGAUUUAAUGUUGCUAUGGCCUUUAAUCCUACUUCCAAUGGGUGCACCCGUGGCAUCAGUUGCACCGCCGACAUCGUGGGAGAGUGCCCCGCUGCGCUAAAGACUACCGGUGGUUGCAACAACCCAUGCACCGUUUUCAAGACCGAUGAAUAUUGUUGCAAUUCUGGGAGCUGUAAUGCUACAACUUACUCCGAGUUUUUCAAGACUAGGUGCCCUGAUGCUUAUAGCUACCCUAAGGACGAUCAGACAAGCACCUUCACAUGCCCUUCCGGGACCAAUUAUGAAGUUAUCUUCUGCCCAUAAAUCUAUUAUUUAAAUCAUAUGCUAGUAUGCCUCUACUGGUCUCAACUAUUAGGAGGCAAUGGUAUCCACCUUGGGUUCCAAAAGCCUAGAGGAAUAAAGUUGAGCCCAUAUUCGUGGUCAUGUAUUAAGAUUUCUACACUAGUCGAAGCAAUGGAUGCCUUUUUUUAUAUAGAUAUAUGCUAUCUUCUUCUUCUAAUCUCUGUGGUCCCUUCCAAGUAACAUUUCAUAUAGAUAUAUGAAUUUUAAUGAUUAUUCUUCUUCAGAAUUCUUUUUUUUUUUUUUUUUGAAAAUGAAAUUAAGCUUAACAUGAACAAAAUUCUGCUAUCAUGGUACGGAGAAAUCUUUGCUUGAGAGCGGUGGUUGAGGAUUGAGUCACCUACCCAAGUCAAAUUUUUGUAACAAUUAGAUGUUCAUCUUUAGAGUACUACAAGGAAAAUUGAUGUGAGGAUAAAGACCAGUUAACGAAGCUUGACUGACGUCAAAAUUUUAUUUUAUUUCCUUUUCUCUAAUCCUACCUUGUAGCGGUCCAAAUUAAUUGUCUUGACAAGGAAAUAUAACACAUAGCCAAGGAGGAUUUGCCUAAAAGCCAUCAUCCUGUUUGAAAACUACCUCCCUUAUUGUGCACAUGACACUUUUUCUAAGGGGAAUAAUCCAACCAUACAUUGGACCAAUAAAAUAAGUAUUUUUGGGAUUUUAUUUUUACCUUCACAAAUUGAGUGCGUAAAGUGCGGGGGAAAAAAACUCAUUCAUGCAUUUCAAUAACACUUGUGAAUUUAUUCCAAAAUUACAUUCAAAGUACACCUAUCAUUUUUUUUUACAUCAACUCUCUCACACCUCCAUUUCACCCGCCAUGUUCAUACGGUUUUUUUAUCUCUCACCAACAUAUUCAUAGUCUCAUGUAUUUUCUUAUAAAACAUCUUUAAUUUCAAUUUUUUUUUCACUCUCUAAUCUCUCCAUAUUUAUUGAUUUUAAUCAUUUUUUAGACACAUUAAACUUAAAAUGAUAAUAUAUAAUAAAUAAUUAAUAAUAAAAAAUUAAAUAAAAACAUAAUAUUUAAUGAACAAAAAUUAAAAUAUUAUCUCACAAAUAAUAUACUUGAUAAUUUUAAAUAUUAAUUAUAAUAAUGUUUAAGAUUUAAAUUUAAAAAUUAUGUUUUUAUUAUUUAGAGGCUUAUGAUAUAAUUUUUUUUAUAUUAAUACUAAAUAAAAGAUUUAUUGAUUUUGUAAAUCUUAUCAUACGUAAAAGUAAAAAAUAUCUUUGUAAUAUUAUUUUAUUAUUUUUAUUUUGAUAUAAAAUUUUUCAUUUGUAAUAUUAUUUUAUUAUUUUUAUUUUGAUAUAAAAUUUUUCAUAUCAAAAUCACAAUAAGUGAUAGUAGUUUUUUUUUUGUUAUGGUUUUAAUUGUGGUUUUAACUUUUUACUUGGUUAAAUUUUUUAAUUUUUUAUCAAGAUAAAAUAUAAAAGAAAAUAUGUUUUUUCAUAAAAAAAAAAUACAUUGUUUUAGGGAAAUUGAGAUACUUAUCUCUUUUAUCAUGAUGCAUAUACUCCUUUUGGAAUUCUCGGGAAGUGUUUUUAAAUUCUCUCCCACCUCGAAAAAGACUUUGAAACUUCAAGUAAGAAAAAUAAAUACAUCCUUUAAGAAAAAUGGAUUUUCUUUGAAUUGGUUGCCUCACAAUAUUUUAAAUGAUAAAGACUAAAAUUCAAUUAUGAUAUUAUCGAAAAUAGUCCCAAUCUAACGACUAGUCAAGAUAUUUGAAGUGGCCAAUCGUAUUGGAAGAAUUCCAGGAAGGUGCUCAACAGGGUUGUCUCAUUCAAAUAAGGAAAUUUGAAAUAAAUUUUCUCAAUACCAUGCACCCACGUUUUCUAGAUACAUUCCUACUGUUCUCAGAAUUGAGUGCUCAUGAAUUUACAUAGAAGUUAGGCAGAUUUCUGGAAAUAAUAAAAAUGAUAAUCACGUAGAACCUUGUCUCUGUAAAUUAUUUUAAAUAAAAAAUACUUAUUUUUCUAAAAAUAAGUAUUUUCAAAAUGUAAUAUAUGUUUUUUUUUUUUUUAAAUAAUAAUAAUUUACAAGCUUUUUUAUUUUUAUUUCUUAAAAAAAUUAUGGGCUUUUGUUGAUAAGAUUUGAGGAAAAACAAAAAGGGCCACACUACAUUGACUCUUCCAUGCCUACAGGCCACAACGAAGUCGACCACAAAGAUGACGCCAUCUUUUGGAAUUUUUACAGGACGGUUUUUCCACAUACACACCAACCCAAGCCCACCUUCACCCUAUAUAAACCCCCACCCAUUUCCUCACAGAUCACCCCACUCCAACCAUCAAGCCUAUCUUCCGAUCCUCAACAAUGGGCCUCUGCAAAAUCCUCUCCAUUUCCUCAUUCCUUCUCACCGCCCUAUUCUUCACCCCCAGCUAUGCAGCCACCUUCAACAUCCAAAACCAUUGCUCCUACACGGUUUGGGCUGCGGCAGUCCCAGGCGGGGGCAUGCAGCUUGGCUCAGGCCAAUCCUGGAGCCUCAAUGUGAAUGCCGGCACCACUGGAGGCCGUGUUUGGGCCCGUACCAACUGCAACUUCGAUGCAUCAGGGAAUGGGAAGUGUGAGACCGGGGACUGUGGUGGCCUCCUCCAAUGCACGGCCUAUGGUACACCCCCUAACACCUUAGCCGAAUUCGCACUUAACCAAUUCAGCAACUUGGACUUCUUUGAUAUAUCUUUGGUUGAUGGAUUUAAUGUGCCUAUGGCCUUUAAUCCUACUUCCAAUGGGUGCACCCGUGGCAUCAGUUGCACCGCCGACAUCGUGGGAGAGUGCCCCGCUGCGCUAAAGACUACCGGUGGUUGCAACAACCCAUGCACCGUUUUCAAGACCGAUGAAUAUUGUUGCAAUUCUGGGAGCUGUAGUGCUACAGAUUACUCAAGGUUUUUCAAGACUAGGUGCCCUGAUGCUUAUAGCUACCCUAAGGACGAUCAGACAAGCACCUUCACAUGCACUGCCGGUACCAAUUAUGAAGUUGUCUUCUGCCCAUAAAUCUAUUAUUUAAAUCAUAUGCUAGUAUGCCUCUACUAGUCUCAACUAUUAGGAGGCAAUGGUUUCCACCUUGGGUUCCAAAAGCCUAGAGGAAUAAAGUUGGGCACAUUUUCGUGGUCAUGUAACAAGAUUUCUACACUAGUAGAAGUAAUGGAUGUUUUUUUUUUUUAUAUAUAUAUAUAUAUAUAUAGAUUUAUGCGAUCUUCUUUCUUUCUAACCUCUAUGGUCCCGUCCAAGUAAUAUUUCAUAUAUAUUUUAUUCUAUAUAAUAUCUGCGGAUAAGAUCGGUUAAUGAAGCUUGACUAAAGUCAAAAUUUUAUUUUAUUUCAUUAUCCUACUUGGAAACUACCUUCCUUACUGGGUACAUGGCAUUUUUUUUUUAAUAAUAUUUGACUCAGGUUUCCGAGAAAACAUUGUAGCAGUCCAAACACGGCGUAAAUUGGGACUUUUCUCAAUAGUAGAGUAAUUUAAAAAAGUUAUUCUUCAAUUACUGUAGUGGAAGAAGUUAUUACAAAUAUAGGGUAGUUUUUGCCAGAUAGGAGAGAGGAGAGAGGAGAGAGGGUGAGAGAGAGGAGAGAGGAAAGAGGAGAUAGGAGAGAGGAGAGAGGAGAGAGGGUGAACGGGUAAAAUUUUUUAAAAAAGGGAACUCGUCUCUUGAAGAGACGAGUUCCAUGAAAAAAAAUAUAUAUAUAAUUUUUAAAAAAUUCUCAAAUUAAAAAAAAAAAAAUUGGAACUAAAGGCUUGACACGAGUUCCCAUGGGAAAAAUAUAUAUUAUUUAUUUAAAAUAUAUUUUUCAUUUAAAAAAAAUCCCAAAAAAAAUAAAAAAUAAAAUUUCUAAAAGGAACUCGUCUCUUUUUUAAAAAAAAUAUAUUUUUUAUUUUAAAAUCCCAAAUUUAAAAAAAAAAAACGCAAUUCCAAAAGGAACUCGUCUCUUUAAAAAUAUAUAUAUUUAAAAAAAAAAAUUCCUAAAGGGAACUCGUCUCUUGAAGAGACGAGUUCCCUUUAGGAAAAAAAAUAUUUUGUUUUUAAAAUAUAUUUUUUAUUUUAAAAAAUCCCAAAUAAAAAAAAAUAAAAAAUAAAAAACAAUUCCAAAGGGAACUCGUCUCUUCAAGAGACGAGUUCCCAUGUAAAAAAAAAUAUUUUUUUAAAAAAUAUAUAUAUUUAAAAAAAAAAAUUCAGAGUUACUUUAGGAAAAAAAAUAUUUUUUUUUUAAAAUAUAUUUUUUAUUUUAAAAAAUCCCAAAUUUAAAAAAAAAAAAACACAAUUCCAAAGGGAACUCGUCUCUUCAAGAGACGAGUUCCCAUGUAAAAAAAAUAUUUUUUUUAAAUAUAUAUAUUAAAAAAAAAAAAACAAUUCCUCAAAAUUCCUAAAGGAACUCGUCUNNNNNNNNNNNNNNNNNNNNNNNNNNNNNNNNNNNNNNNNNNNNNNNNNNNNNNNNNNNNNNNNNNNNNNNNNNNNNNNNNNNNNNNNNNNNNNNNNNNNAAAGGAACUCGUCUUUUGGAAGAGAACGAGUUCCCAUGUAAAAAAAAAAAAAAAUUUUAAAAAAAAUAUAUAUUUAAAAAAAUAAAAAUUCAGGGUUCCCUUUAGGAAAAAAAAUAAUUUUUUUUUAAAAAAAAUAUUUUUUUUUUUAAAAAAUCCCCAAUUAAAAAAAAAAAAAAAAAAAAAAAACCCAAUUCCAAAGGGAACUCGUCUCUUCAAGAGACGAGUUCCCUUGUAAAAAAAAUUAUUAUUUUUAAAUAUAUAUAUAUUAAAAAAAAAAAAAAAAAAAAACAAUUCCUCAAAAUUCCUAAAGGAACUCGUCUCUUCAAGAGACGAGUUCCCAUAUAAAAAAAAAAAUUAAAAAAAAAUAUAUAUUUAAAAAAAUAAAAAUUCAGAGUUCCCUUAGGAAAAAUAAUAAUUUUUUAAAAAAAUAUAUUUUUUAUUUUAAAAAAUCCCAAAUUAAAAAAAAAAAAAAAAAAAAAAAACACAAUUCCAAAGGGAACUCGUCUCUUAUUUUUUUUUUUUCCAUAGGAACUCGUCUCUUCAAUAGACGAGUUCCCUUGAUGAAUUGUUUUUUUUUUUUUUUUUUUUAAAUAUAUUUUUUUAAAAAAAAUUUGUUUUUACGUGGGAACUCAUCUUAAAGAGACGAGUUCCCUUGAGGAAUUGUUUUUUUAUUUUAUUUUAUAUUUUAUUUUAAUAUAUAUAUUUUAAAAUAAAAAAUAUUUUUAAGAGACGAGUUCCUUUGGAAUUGUGUUUUUUUUUUUUUUUUUUAAUUUGGGAUUUUUUAAAUUUUUUAAAAAAAUAAUUUUUUUUCCUAAAGGGAAUUCUGAAUUUUUAAUUUUUUAAAUAUAUAUAUUUAAAAAUUUUUUUUUUUUUAAAAAACAAAAAUUUUUUUUAAAAAAUAUAUAUAUUUAAAAAAAAAUUAUAUUUUUUNNNNNNNNNNNNNNNNNNNNNNNNNNNNNNNNNNNNNNNNNNNNNNNNNNNNNNNNNNNNNNNNNNNNNNNNNNNNNNNNNNNNNNNCGUCUCUUCAAGAGACGAGUUCCCUUUGGAAUUGUGUUUUUUUUUUUUUUUUUUCUUUUUUUUAAUUUGGGAUUUUUUAAAAUAAAAAAUAUUUUUUUUUUCCUAAAGGGAACUCUGAAUUUUUUUUUUAAAUAUAUAUAUAUUUUUUAAAAAAAUAUUUUUAAAAAAAAAAUAUUUUUUUUUGUUUUUUUUUUUUUAAUUUGGGAUUUUUUAAAAUAAAAAAUAUAUUUUAAAAAAAAAAUAUUUUUUUUCCUAAAGGGAACUCGUCUCUUCAAAAAACAAGUUACCUUUAGGAAUUUUUUUUUUAAAUAUAUAUAUUUUAAAAAAAAAAUAUUUUUUUUACAUGGGAACUCGUCUCUUCAAAAGACGAGUUCCUUUUGGAAUUGUGUUUUUUUUUUUUUUUUUUUUAAUUUAGGAUUUUUUAAAAUAAAAAAUAUAUUUUUAAAAAAAAUUAUUUUUUUUCCCAAGGAACUCGUCUCUUGAAGAGACGAGUUCCCUUUAGAAAUUUUUUUUUUUUUUUUUUGGAUUUUUUUAAAUAAAAAAUAUAUUUUAAAUAAAUAAUAUAUUUUUUUUCCCAGGGAACUCGUCUGAAGCCUUUAGUUCCAAAUUUUUUUUUUUAAUUUGAGAAUUUUUUAAAAAUUAUAUAUAUAUAUUUUUUCAUGGAACUCGUCUCUUCAAGAGACGAGUUCCCUUUUUUAAAAAAUUUUACCCGUUCAUCCUCUCUCCUCUCUCCUAUCUCCUCUUUCCUCUCUCCUCUCUCCUCUCUCUCACCCUCUCUCCUCUCUCCUCUCUCCUCUCUCCUAUGUGGCAAAAACUACCCUAUAUUUGUAAUAACUUCUUCCACUACAGUAAUUGAAGAAUAACUUUUUUAAAUUACUCUACUAUUGAGAAAAGUCCGCGUAAAUUGUCAUAGCCCUUUAUUGCAGAGAAUAGUGGAAAAGAAAGUUGUUAAAAGUGGCAUAAGUAAUUCAAACCAUAACCCUAUAUUGAGGAGAGUUAUGACUUAUGACACAUAAAUAUUGAAGUUCCACUUGUCUAUCAAUUAAAUAAAUAUAUGUUUUAAUUUAUUUUUGUAAAAAAAAUCAAUAAGAUUUUUAAUAUUUAUUUUACUAAUUUUAUUUAAAGAACUUAUGAUUUAAAAACGAGUUUAAUAUGAUUUAGAUAAGAAAUAUUUUAAUAUUUAAUAUAAAUUUUAUAAUACUAAUAUUACCUAUUAAAAAUUAAGAUUUUGGUUGCACCAUCAACAUUUAGUUAAAUCUAAAAAUAAAAAACUAUUUCAAACAAAGCUUUAUUUAUUCAUCUAUCAUGCUAAUGGAGCCUCAGAAGUUAAAAAGAUUAACUGGGCCAUGGUUAUAGAAGCCCAAAAGAUUUAUUGAUGGGGCGGAGCAGGUGGGCCUGGCCUGCCAUGUGCAGCUGUAUUUUUUUGACUUGUCUUCAAGACAACAAGUCAACGCCUCCGUUCAAUGAAGCGGAUGUAUCGGAAAAACCCAAAAGCUUCAUUUUCCCCUCAAAACGCGUAAACCCCAAAAUGAGCUUCUUCUGCAACUGCAGCAACCUCUCUACUUCCUUCUGCCUCCUCAUCCUCCCGUUCUUCUUCACCUUCAUCCAUGCAACCACUUUCGAAAUCCAAAACAGCUGCCCCUACACCAUCUGGGCAGCCGCCGUACCCGGCGGCGGAAGGCAACUCGACCAAGGCCAGACCUGGAACCUUUCAGUGAGCUCCAACAUAACGGGCCGCAUCUGGGGCAGAACCAAGUGCAGCUUCGAUGAAGCCGGAAGGGGGAGCUGCGAGUCCGGUGGAUGUGGAGGCCUCCUUGAAUGCCAAGAAUAUGGUUCACCGCCCAACACCAUUGCCGAGUACACCCUAAACCAAUCCAACAAAACUGAUUUAUUCGAUGUUUCUCUGGUGGAUGGAUUCAACCUUCCAAUGGAGUUUAGCCCAACUUCUGAUGGGUGCAGAGGGGCCAAUUGUACAGGCGACAUUAACGGGCCGUGCCCAAAUGAGUUGAGGGACCCGGGUGGGUGUAACAACCCAUGUACCGUUUUCAAAAAUUCUCAGUACUGUUGCGAUUCCGGGAGCUGUGGCCCUACAACUUACUCCGAGUUUUUCAAGGAUAGGUGCCCAAAUGCAUACAGUUACCCUGAGGAUGAUUCAACCAGUUUGUUUACGUGCUCCACUGGCUCUAACUAUCGUGUAGUCUUCUGCCCUUGAAUUAUGGGUUGCUAUUAAUUGUUUGAAGUAUUUUCUGAAUUGCCGUGUAAUUUUAUGCUAUGAGGGUAUUUCUUCCUAAGUUUUGUUGGAUGAUCCGUUGAAAUAAAUACUCGAUAACUUCUGUAUUAUUUUAAAAAGUAAUGUAUCAAUAUGCCCAUUUUUAAAAGCUAUAGUGUUAUAAAUUUCAAACUCUUUAAAAUUUUGAGAGAUGAUACUAAGAACUAGCAUACUUUUGUAAAAGAAGUCAUAAAAGGAGAGUCAUCUAAAAAUUUUAAACUUUUAAAAUUUUUCACUAAAACCAAUGUCUCUCUCCGCUUGUUGACUCGUCUGGAAGUCAAGUCCAACGACCCCAUAGCCGUCAACCGAAACCGUUCAUGAAAAAUCUGAUCACCUUCCUCGCCAAAAUGCCAAAAUCCCAAGAUGACUUUCUUCAGCAGCUGCAACAACCUCUCCACUUCCUUCUUCCUCCUCAUCACCACUCUCUUCUUCACCUUCCUCCACGCUUCCGCGCUUCCACCUUCCACAUCCAAAACAA
rnacentral:lncRNA from 1 species